AUUGAACGCUGGCGGCAGGCCUAACACAUGCAAGUCGAGCGGAUGAGUGGAGCUUGCUCCAUGAUUCAGCGGCGGACGGGUGAGCAAUGCAUAGGAAUCUGCCUAUUAGUGGGGGACAACGUUCCGAAAGGAACGCUAAUACCGCAUACGUCCUACGGGAGAAAGCAGGGGACCUUCGGGCCUUGCGCUAAUAGAUGAGCCUAGGUCGGAUUAGCUAGUUGGUGAGGUAAUGGCUCACCAAGGCGACGAUCCGUAACUGGUCUGAGAGGAUGAUCAGUCACACUGGAACUGAGACACGGUCCAGACUCCUACGGGAGGCAGCAGUGGGGAAUAUUGGACAAUGGGCGAAAGCCUGAUCCAGCCAUGCCGCGUGUGUGAAGAAGGUCUUCGGAUUGUAAAGCACUUUAAGUUGGGAGGAAGGGUUGUACGUUAAUACCGUGCAAUUUUGACGUUACCGACAGAAUAAGCACCGGCUAACUCUGUGCCAGCCGCCGCUGUAA
rnacentral:rRNA from 1 species